rnacentral:ncRNA from 1 species
GACCAGACCCAAUAUAGUUGACCAAGCUACCCAGGGAUAACAGCACAAUCUCCUCCAAGAACCCAUAUAGAUAAGGAAGUUUACAACUUCGAUGUUGCAUCAGGACAGCCUAAAGGUGCAGCCACUAUUAAGGGUUCAUUUUGUUCAACGAUUAACAGUUCUAUGUGAGCUGAGUUCAGCCCAGCGCAAUCCGGGUCGGUUUCUA